CCUACGGGGGGCAGCAGUGGGGAAUAUUGGACAAUGGGCGAAAGCCUGAUCCAGCCAUGCCGCGUGUGUGAAGAAGGCCUUCGGGUUGUAAAGCACUUUCAGUGGGGAAGAAAGCCUUGGGGCUAAUACCCUCGAGGAAGGACAUCACCCACAGAAGAAGCACCGGCUAACUCCGUGCCAGCAGCCGCGGUAAUACGGAGGGUGCGAGCGUUAAUCGGAAUUACUGGGCGUAAAGCGCGCGUAGGCGGUCUGAUAAGCCGGUUGUGAAAGCCCCGGGCUCAACCUGGGAACGGCAUCCGGAACUGUCAGGCUAGAGUGCAGGAGAGGAAGGUAGAAUUCCCGGUGUAGCGGGGAAAUGCGUAGAGAUCGGGAGGAAUACCAGUGGCGAAGGCGGCCUUCUGGACUGACACUGACGCUGAGGUGCGAAAGCGUGGGUAGCAAACAGGAUUAGAUACCCUGGGUAGUC
rnacentral:rRNA from 1 species